UAAAUUAGAGGUAGCUGGAAUAAGUAGUGUAGCGGUGAAAUGCAUAGAUAUUACUUAGAACACCAAUUGCGAAGGCAGGUUACCAUGAUUUAACUGACGCUGAGGGACGAAAGCGUGGGUAGCGAACAGGAUUAGAUACCCUGGUAGUCCACGCCGUAAACGAUGCUAACUCGUUUUUGGGGCGCAAGCCUCAGAGACCAAGCGAAAGUGAUAAGUUAGCCACCUGGGGAGUACGUUCGCAAGAAUGAAACUCAAAGGAAUUGACGGGGGCCCGCACAAGCGGUGGAUUAUGUGGUUUAAUUCGAUGAUACGCGAGGAACCUUACCAAGGCUUAAAUGGGAAAUGACAGGCUUAGAAAUAGGCUCUUCUUCGGACAUUUUUCAAGGUGCUGCAUGGUUGUCGUCAGCUCGUGCCGUGAGGUGUUAGGUUAAGUCCUGCAACGAGCGCAACCCCUGUCACUAGUUGCUAACAUUCAGUUGAGGACUCUAGUGAGACUGCCUACGCAAGUAGAGAGGAAGGUGGGGAUGACGUCAAAUCAUCACGGCCCUUACGCCUUGGGCCACACACGUAAUACAAUGGCCGGU
rnacentral:rRNA from 1 species